UACGGGGGGAGCAAGCGUUGUUCGGAUUUACUGGGCGUAAAGGGCGCGUAGGCGGCCACCGCAAGUCAGCUGUGAAAUCUCUGGGCUUAACCCAGAACGGUCAGCUGAUACUGCGGGGCUAGAGUGCAGAAGGGGCAACUGGAAUUCUCGGUGUAGCGGUGAAAUGCGUAGAUAUCUGGAGGAACACCGGUGGCGAAGGCGGCAUCCUGGACCGACACUGACACUGAGGAGCGAAAGCCAGGGGAGCAAACGGG
rnacentral:rRNA from 1 species